AGAAAGAAGUAGGAGGGCUUCAGGGAUUCAGCGGAGGAGACUGAAAGCCUGAGAGACGAUGCCUCUGAGAAGGUUACAGACCUUGGGAGAAAGCGCUUUCACCUCCUCACCACAGACACUCUCGACUGUGGACUCAGGACACUAAGCCAGAAAGACUGUUGUCACCCCGUGUGUCAUGGAGACCCUGUAGUUUUGGAUCUGCAGGACUGGCUUCUUCACGUACUCCAGCAGUUCAUUGAUGGGAUAGACGUGGGGUGGGCUAACUCAAAGCCCUGGAUCUGGGCCUGAGAGGUGUCUGAGCUGCUCAGCCCACCAGCUCUCCAGUUCUUGUGGCCUUUGGAUUGGCUCGCCAGCAACCCCCUCUCCCAGGGCUAGCUCUCCUGGCUGACCAGGAACCUGACAAGACUGACUAGCCAUCUCUAGCAUUCAGAUAGGUGGAACUUCAUUGUGCUGAAGUUAUGUUUGAGCACCCUCUGCUGGACAAAUCAGAUGCUCUAUGACUACCAACAAUGUACCAGUGGUAUUCGUCUCUUGCAGAUCUGGAAGAAAAUGAAAUUUAGGUACAUACAGUCACGAACAGAUACCUAGAUGACACAUUUAAAACCCUCAAACACAGUGGAGAUGAGACCAGCAUAAUAUUAAGCUCUUCUCCCUCACAAACACCUGUGCUACCCACACUCACAGGCAAAAAAAAUAUACACAACUGCCAGACUGCAAUGCCUCCCAAUUUAUUGGCCAAAUCUAGAUUCUGCUAGCCCUGUAUAUUCACUCAGAAAGCCAGGCUUCAGACACACCAUGAGUGAUGAGAAAUCCAUUUCAUCAGCAGAGGCAUCUUGCCUAUCUUCAGGAAGCCUACAGACUUCCAGGGAAGCAGGGGGGAAAUCAAGACGUGUCUGACUAUGAGCUGGGGUAAGGGAAGCCUCCGUGUGAAGAUGUGACCUAGUUAGGACAGCUGCCGGAAAGCAGGACUGGCAAGCUUGGUGGUUUGUACACCGGGCCUUGGGAGACUUGGGACACAAACACGAGGUCUUCUGAGGAUGUUUGUGAGUUGCUGGGUUACACAAAAAGAUUCUAGCUCAACAAGCAAAGAAGCGAAGGGGAGGGAAGGGGAGGAAAGGGAGGAGAAGAAAGGAAGUGGGAAGAGAAAAUGGGGCCAAGAAAAGCCCCAAACAUCCCAUAAGCACCCAGAACAGUGUCCCCACCGCGAACCAACCGGGAACCAAAGUGUUCACACCAGAUGAGCUCGUGGAAGGGCUUUUUGCCAAUUGUUCAUGGGUCCCCAGUGAUGAUGGAAUAUUGCGACUUACGUUUCAACCGUUUAAAAAUUUACUGUUAUUAU
rnacentral:lncRNA from 1 species